rnacentral:rRNA from 1 species
UGGGGAAUAUUGCACAAUGGGGGAAACCCUGAUGCAGCAACGCCGCGUGAGUGAUGACGGCCUUCGGGUUGUAAAGCUCUGUCUUCAGGGACGGUAAUGACGGUACCUGAGGAGGAAGCAACGGCUAACUACGUGCCAGCAGCAGCGGUAAUACGUAGGUGGCAAGCGUUGUCCGGAAUUACUGGGCGUAAAGGGAGCGUAGGCGGACUCUUAAGUGAGAUGUGAAAUACCCGGGCUCAACCUGGGUGCUGCAUUUCAAACUGGAAGUCUAGAGUGCAGGAUAGGUGAGUGGAAUUCAUAGUGUAGCGGUGAAAUGCGUAGAGAUUAGGAAGAACACCAGUGGCGAAGGCGACUCUCUGGACUGUAACUGACGCUGAGGCUCGAAAGCGUGG